AGGGGGGUGGGAGCUGAGCAGAUAGACAGAGGGAUGUAAAAUGGGUUAGAAUCAAUAGGUAGCAAGGAGAAAAGUAAACGUGGCAGGCAGACAAAUCCAGGGCAAAAA